AAUUAGCUUGUUUGAUAUAAGGAAAGUAUGUAUUGAGUACCUUUUUGCUAACCUGAUUGCUUAAUUUUUUUAAAAAAAGGUUUACACUUUUUAAAAAAUCUUCAAACUGGCCUUUAUUACAUAGUCACAAAGUUGCAGCUAGGAGAGGGAUGGGCAGGAAAGAAACUAGUUUUGAGUGUCUUCAGUUAGAAACAUGAGACUAAGGUUUGGUUUCGUUUUUGUUUUCUCAUUAAAAUAUCUUAAGCUUUAUGGAA